GGUGAGUGCUUUGUUAUUUGAAACUGGGAUCGACACAUUGUUUGUCGGUGAGUCCGGUUCUGUGGUUUCAUUUCCUGUGGUUGCUAAGACUCGCAGUUUUAAAGAAUUGGUACGUUGAUAAAUCUGCUGUGCCAUCUGAAUUAGUCCCUUAGUGAAGGUGAGUGGAGAUGAGAAUAAAAACCGGACGGAUUUGUUUGUCUGCUGGAGCCGCCCGCUGCUGGG